AUUGAACGCUGGCGGCAUGCUUUACACAUGCAAGUCGAACGGUAACAGGCCGCAAGGUGCUGACGAGUGGCGAACGGGUGAGUAAUGCAUCGGAACGUGCCCAGUCGUGGGGGAUAACUGCUCGAAAGAGCAGCUAAUACCGCAUACGAUCUAUGGAUGAAAGCGGGGGACCGUAAGGCCUCGCGCGAUUGGACCGGCCGAUGUCAGAUUAGGUAGUUGGUGGGGUAAAGGCUCACCAAGCCAACGAUCUGUAGCUGGUCUGAGAGGACGACCAGCCACACUGGGACUGAGACACGGCCCAGACUCCUACGGGAGGCAGCAGUGGGGAAUUUUGGACAAUGGGGGCAACCCUGAUCCAGCAAUGCCGCGUGCAGGAAGAAGGCCUUCGGGUUGUAAACUGCUUUUGUACGGAACGAAACGGUCUGGGUUAAUACCCUGGGCUAAUGACGGUACCGUAAGAAUAAGCACCGGCUAACUACGUGCCAGCCGCCGCUGUAAUAC
rnacentral:rRNA from 1 species